AUAAUGCUUAUCUUUCAGAAGGGAACGUAAAUGGGUCACGGCCUGAGAAUCCUCCUGGUUUUCUGGUGGUGGGUGAUGACGGCCUGAGUGGGGAGGCUUAUGGCCUGCAGGAUUCUUGGACGGAUAAUAUCAGGCUUGAUAUAGAGGACGGCGUUCCUAUGUCGGGACGUUCUGAUUAGAGGGGAGAUGAAGCAGGGGCUGAAGGAAAUCAAGAGGAUUUGGCUAGUACGGAAUCUACGGCUUCUGGGUUCCAGAUUAAGGAGAAGAUCACGGCUGCAUCUCAAGUUGAUCAGUCCCCGGCGGCUCAGGAUUCUAGAACAGGUGUGAGGAUCGUAUGGGUGAUGGGGCAUUCAUUUAUUUAUUGGGCCAAUGCUGAGGCCAGUAAGAAAAUGGGCGGCCUGCAGCUCAGGUGUCCAGUUGGACAAUGGGAAGUCAAAUGGUUUGGGAUUAGGGGCAUGUGUUGGGAGCAUUUGUUUCCAUUAUUUGUUGAAUAUAGUAAGGUUUUUCAUCACCCUGAGGUUUUGGUGUUGCAUUUGGGGGGGAAUGAUUUGGGCCUUAUUCCGCAAAAAGAGUUAGUCAGAAGAACUAAGAGAGACUUAGGUAAUAUUAAAGAUCUUCAUCCUGAGAUAAAAAUAAUUUGGUCACAAAUCACACCACGCUUGGUUUGGAGGUCUGCCUGGGAUUAUGAAAAACUGGAGAGGAGCCGUAAAAAAAAUUAAUAAAAUAAUUAGUUCCUUUGUCAGAAGGCUGGGGGGGGGGGGGUCGUUUUCCACCCUGAUUUUGAGGUUGAGGGGUCUGAGGAGUUUUAUUUAAAAGAUGGGGUUCAUUUCAAUCAAUUUGGGCUGCAGCUAUUUUUGUUUGAUAUUAAAGAAGCUUUAGAAAAAGUUUUGGGUUUGGCGGGACUGGGCUACUUGAGCAGACCAGUCGUUGGCGGGGGUGCUAGUUCCCAGACAAAUAUUUGAAGCAAGAUGGCCAAGUGAUUUGGGGGAUUUGAAGAAGUUGCCUCUCCAUGGGGUGAGAGGGCAACUGGUUUAUUAUAGGGACAAGAGGUUCCCUAUUAAAGUGGAGGUGUGCUUGGUACGGACUCAA